rnacentral:rRNA from 1 species
UCUUGCGCAAUGGGCGAAAGCCUGACGCAGCGACGCCGCGUGAGCGAUGAAGGCCCUCGGGUUGUAAAGCUCUGUGGGGAGAGAAGAAUAAAGGCGGGCCAAUACCCCGCCCGAUGACGGUAUCUCCUUAGCAAGCACCGGCUAACUCUGUGCCAGCAACCGCGGUAAUACAGAGGGUGCAAACGUUGUUCGGAAUUACUGGGCGUAAAGCGCGUGUAGGCGGCUUCGCAAGUCGGAUGUGAAAUCCCGCGGCUCAACCGUGGAAGUGCAUUCGAUACUGCGUCGCUAGAGUCCUGGAGAGGAAGGUGGAAUACUCGGUGUAGAGGUGAAAUUCGUAGAUAUCGAGUGGAACACCGGUGGCGAAGGCGGCCUUCUGGACAGUGACUGACGCUGAGACGCGAAAGCGUGGGGAGCAAACAGG